rnacentral:rRNA from 1 species
AUACGGAGGGUGCGAGCGUUAAUCGGAAUUACUGGGCGUAAAGCGUACGUAGGUGGUUGUCUAAGUCAGAUGUGAAAGCCCCGGGCUUAACCUGGGAACUGCAUUUGAUACUGGGCGACUAGAGUUUAGUAGAGGGGAGUGGAAUUUCCGGUGUAGCGGUGAAAUGCGUAGAGAUCGGAAGGAACACCAGUGGCGAAGGCGACUCCCUGGACUAAAACUGACGCUGAGGUACGAAAGCGUGGGUAGCAAACAGGAUUAGAAACCCUUGUAGUCC